rnacentral:rRNA from 1 species
UACAGAGGUCUCAAGCGUUGUUCGGAUUCAUUGGGCGUAAAGGGGUGUGUAGGUGGCGCCGUAAGUCGGGUGUGAAAUUUCGGAGCUUAACUCCGAAACUGCAUUCGAUACUGCGGUGCUUGAGGACUGGAGAGGAGACUGGAAUUCAUGGUGUAGCAGUGAAAUGCGUAGAUAUUCGUAAGGGAAGACCAGUGGCGAAG